AGAACAAAGCAUUCCAGCAUGGACAGCACUUGUCCUGGCUCCCCUGCUAUAUAGAACUCACUGUUCCCCACCCUAGACCCUUACCCUCACCCCUUGCCAGGCCAACAUUCUCCAAUAUGAUUUCCAGGAGCUUCCAGAAUGCUGGCUUGUUACAGCUGCUGCCCUGCUCUUAGUGACCAGCAUCUCCUUCGAGCAGUCCUCUGUGUCAGAUGGAGAACUGAGGCCCAAGAUCCUACAGUGACUUAGGAGAAAAAUGGGGCCUCACAUGUGGAUUACUGGUACCAAAGAACAGCAGAUCCCAUAGCUCCAGAGGCCAGAGGAGGACCUUAAGGGAAGGAAGACCUUCCUAAUUAUCUAAGAUCCAGCACAGUUCCUCUGGGCAGCUCUGCUGCUGCCGCUGGCUGGCCACAAGGCACUCAGGAUGUAGGAGGCAUCUAGACCCACAGUCAGAGGAGAGCUCUUGCAGACAGCACCUGGAGAAGGGAAGGCAAAGAGGCCAAACUGGGCAGAGGGAGAAGAAGUCGAGCUGCAAGACAGGCCCAACCCCGGCCUCAGCUGCCUCACUGGGAGCUCCAAAUGACCUGUCACCGCCCCACACGGGGCUUAAAUAGCCGGGCCUGAAUUAGUACCCAGCUGGAUUAGUCCUUGGAUAUGAGGCUGCCCAGAGAAAGGCAUGGGAGGCCGAGGCAGAGGAGGCAAAUCUCUGCAGCUGGGGGCAAUCCCUGGAGAGCUGAGCACUCACGACCCUCCCGCCGCCAGGGCCAGUCCUUCCUGAGGUACAUCUGGACAUCGUGUCUCUGGGUCUACUGUCCUGGGUUUUAGUGGGCUUUUGAGAGACGCUUGUCGAAUAAAUGAAUGCAUAAAUGAAAUAAGCCCCUC